CAUAUAUGUUUUACCAAGUGCCUAACUUUCACAAAUAUUGAGUGACAAUCCCAAAACUUGAGAAUGUUUCAAGGAUUUCUUGACUAAGUUCAUAAUGUCACUAGUCAGUGAAGGUUAAGUCAGCAAUUUUGGAUUAAAUCGAUAGCAGGGAGCCCCAUGAGACUGCAGGCCCAACUGAAACAAUAACACAAACCAGGGUAACUCUUUCAGAUACAUCAACAUGAAACCAGUAAUAAGUGCAUCGAAGUAUAAGUCAAGUAUCUUUACCGACUUCAAAGAGAAAUUUUAUUUAUUCAGUUCUUUGCUUAAGAGGUAUAGUAAACAGUUUUUUCAACUUGACCCAUUUACUGGUCAAAUUCAAGUAGCAUUAACCGCCUACUUGGUGUUUGGUCUAAUUAGCACUACAUGCAAAUUGGGACCAAUUUGCUGGUAUGUCAUCAAUUAAAACUUCAAGGUCGUCUCAGCUUCUCGGGGGAUUAAAUACUUGUUGCUGUUCAGCAGAGAUUUCAGUAGUUCAGAUGGAAGUUCUCACGCGAUAGAAACACCAUGUGUAAUAUUUGUUAUUUUGAGUAUGCAAAUUGAAAACUGUUUCAAAUAUUUGUAAGUGUUUGAAGAAGGUUAGCUGGUAGAUAUAAAUUCAUACAUAAAUUCGCAAAUAUUGUGGUUGCAUAUUUCGAGUUUUUUGCUAAAAGCUGUUCAAACUUCCUUCAAGAUUCGGUUUUCAUUCCAGCAUAAGUUGAUUAGCACAUGUGUAAUUUGUGGUUUUUAAAUUCGACAGGUCUAGAAAUAUAUGAGAGUUUAUUAAAUAUGUAUCUACGAUUGACUACAUAAUAUUGAAAAUAAGUGUUAGAGAAUAUUUGAGGAAUAAGAAGUUAUACGGGCUUAAUUCCGUGUUGCUAAUCAGUAUAAUCAUAAAAAUUAUUUUGUGUUUGUGGUUCUUAAAACUUAGGUAUGAUUUUAUGGUAGAAAGAUAAAUAAAAGUUUACCAAGUAUCACAGA